CGAGCGGGCAUAGCAAUAUGUCAGCGGCAGACGGGUGAGUAACGCGUGGGAACGUACCUUUUGGUUCGGAACAACACAGGGAAACUUGUGCUAAUACCGGAUAAGCCCUUACGGGGAAAGAUUUAUCGCCGAAAGAUCGGCCCGCGUCUGAUUAGCUAGUUGGUGAGGUAAUGGCUCACCAAGGCGACGAUCAGUAGCUGGUCUGAGAGGAUGAUCAGCCACAUUGGGACUGAGACACGGCCCAAACUCC
rnacentral:rRNA from 1 species